UACGGGGGGGGCAAGCGUUGUUCGGAAUUACUGGGCGUAAAGGGCUCGUAGGCGGCCAACUAAGUCGGACGUGAAAUCCCUCGGCUUAACCGGGGAACUGCGUCCGAUACUGGAUGGCUUGAGUUUGGGAGAGGGAUGCGGAAUUCCAGGUGUAGCGGUGAAAUGCGUAGAUAUCGGGAGGAACACCUGUGGCGAAAGCGGCUCACUGGACCAUUACUGACGCUGAUGCUCGAAAGCUAAGGGGAGCAAACAGGG
rnacentral:rRNA from 1 species